CAAACGACUCGGCGUUUUAACCUAAACGAUCAGUCAUUUUACUUUCUGUGAAAUAAAGUUAAAGCAACGAGGCUGACCAGCUUGAUAGCUCCCCUUCCUCUGAGAAAUUGCGAAAUCAACCAACAGAGGCGGCGAAUAGAAAUGAGCAGGAGCAACGUAAAUUUAGUGUUCUACGCUGAUUCAUAUCAUCCGAUUCAAGUAGGAAGCAUCGACGGCACCGAUAUUGUCCCCCACGACAACGGCGUUUACCGUGCUUUGCUCUGCUCCUCUGCUGGCCUCUAUGAUCCCUUCGGCGACCCCAAGGUUAUUGGCGACCCUUAUUGCACAGUUUUCGUAGGUCGCCUCUCUCAUUCAACCACCGAACACACUCUUCGCAAGGCUAUGAGCAAGUACGGUCGAGUGAAGAACUUGCGCUUGGUCAGGGACAUUGUAACUGGUGCCUCUCGUGGCUAUGCUUUUGUUGAAUAUGAAACUGAAAGAGAGAUGCGUCGUGCAUACAAGGUUCUGAGACACUCUGGUGUUUUUUUUUUUUUUCUUGUCUUGCUGAACAAUGUUCAACUGCUUAAUUUGUAGCUAUGAAAAUUUUUGCUGCUUAGUACAUUACAUAAUUAUGUUUCAUAGUAGGAUGUCAUGCUGAGAUAUGAAUGCUCCAUAUAUGCACAUCCCAUAAAGAUAUGUAAUUUUGGGCGUCCGUGUUUUCAAUUUAGCAAAUAAGAGUAUAAAUAAAGGAUUUUUACUGGGUUUAGGUUUUUAUCUUUUGUGGCUUUUUUGGCACGUGUUUGAGUGCACCAGGAAUUCACCAUGUCAACCAUUGAACAAUCUUCCUUGUUAGUUUUCCUAGUUCUUUAGGUGUUCAUCAUUGUCAAUUUCUUUGUGCUGAACUUGGGUGGUUAGAUUGGAUUAGUUAUAGCAACUAUAGUGUAAUUUCUUCUUUUUUUUUUUUCACUUCAUUUUUUGAUAUUACUAUGUUAAAAGUUUUUGUGUGCCCUUAUAAAAUUAGAAAUCAUGUGCAUUAUGACCCACUUGUGUGUAUGUCUCUAUAUUAAAAUCUCUUUUCCAUUUCCUCCCCUAUGACCUGCUGAGAAAACUAGAAAUAUUUGUGUUUGAGAAUGGGUCUUAAAAUAAGUUAGUAUUGGUUAUAGUGGAAGUCGAUGAAGUCUUUAGAAGAUUUUUAUUCAUUGGGAUGCAUAUUGUGGAAGAAAAGUAGAGCAGCAAGUAGUCAACGUGUUGCGGCAUUCUCUGGAUCCUUUGAGGGUGUCUCUCCAUGUAAGAUGAAUUAUUUCAAUUGAUAACUCCAUUUGUAGUUUUGCAAAAUUUGGAUAGGCUGAGUGCAUUUUAUAGAUUGAAUAUUGUAGAAUAAGUGGAAAUUAUUUACUAAGGCACAUGAGCCUCCAGACCUACAUUUUUCCAUUUUAAUCAAUCAAGCAAAAGAAGGCCUUAUUUCUUUGUUUCUUGGACAUUAUUAUGGUGUUAGGCAGAGGACAUGCGAUACUGGAAAAUGCUUUAACAUCCGAAACAUAUCAAUCAUGUGUUAAAUUGGUUCCAUGCUUGUGAUGAUGUACCAUGGGGUGCAGUCAUCUUGGUUGCUAUUUUUAUGGAGUCUCUGUUGAAUAUAUCUAAAAAUGAACUUGUCGGUUAUGCAGGAUGCUCAUCAUACCUUCAUUGAUGACUCUGAAAUAAUAGUUGAUUAUAACAGGCAGCAGUUGAUGCCUGGCUGGAUCCCAAGAAGGUUAGGUCAGUUAAAUAAAUUUUGUUUCUAAAAACAUUGUUGACAAUACAUAUCAAACUGAGAAGCAUUCCUAGCCCACCAAGAGAAAUUGGUAGUUUCUUGUUCUUGGUCAUGAUUGGCUAAAGAUAAAGUUCAAUUAAAGAGCAUCUCCAUGGGAUAGAACCUCCUGUCAUGAUAUUGUUCAUCUUGUGGUAAUUGUACAAGAAAUAACAGGAAUGUGGCGCAAAUCAUGAUUUGGGAUUUUCUUUCUCAUUGGGAACCUUUCUUCUUUGUUUUCGUUGUCUUUCCAAACAGGAGGUGGCCUUGGUGGUAGGAAGGAGUCUGGACAGCUUCGGUUUGGUGGGCGAGAACGACCAUUUAGAGCUCCUUUGUAUGUAGCAUUCACUUUUUUUUUUAUGUAUUUUGCAGCAUUUAUUAUUAUGUAGGCUUGUUUUUUCUGCAAUCAUUUCAAUUUGAUUUUGAUUGCUUAUUGGAUCAAACAUUGCAUCAAAGCUUUGUGUUGGAUUAUAUAUCUGAUGGUGGAAUGAGAUCGGGAGCAGAUUAGCAGGACCUCUAAUCCUGGAAUACAAGAAGUUGAAGGAUGAUCAUACUUUUUUUCAUGGGUGACCUGUGACCAUAGUUGCAUUGGCCUUAAAGUUCCUGUAGACUGGAAAACAAUAUGAUGCGCCAAACAUAGAGGAUGAUGACUUUAUAAUUGGAUAAAGCAGUAGAAAAUGGAUUCAUUUGUUUUUAUUUCAUUAUCUGCUCCAUCAUCUCCACCUCCCAUCAUUAUUUGGAUGCUUCAUUUUGUCUUGAAGACAAGGUCUUUUUAUUUAGGCCCUGCUUGGUUAGCUUGCUUUUUUGCCUUUUGCUGUAACAAGUAAUGUUUAGUUGGAUAAGUAGUUGAAGUUGAUUGUUGUAAAUCCUUAGGUAUUGUAGCUGUAGGAUGGAAACUUGUGCUUCUCAUUUAUAAAUUUACUGAUGGAAUAUCAUCUACCACAAGGCAGGCAAUCAAUUCCUUUUGAUGAUUUGAAGAGGCUUGGCAUUCCUCCUCCACCAGAAGGAAGUUACAUGUCCCGUUUUCAGGUAUCGUGCUUAUUACCUGCAUCAUUUAAUUAUCCAAUAAUUUUGGAUAUUUCCUUUUGUUGAUUUUUCUUCAAAACUCUCUGUACUAUCAAAUAAUCAUCUUGAAUAACACCUUGAAUUUUGCACUGGAAAUAAUUACAUAGUGCCUUUUACUAAAAACCUACUAAGCAAAUGGGCUAGUCCCCUCAUUUCUCACUUGUUGUUUAGGUCCCAUCUCCCCCUAGAAGAAAUCGGAGCUCCAUAGACAGGGAAGAAAGCUCUCACGUUAGGAGUUCUAUUGACAAAGAAGAACGCAGUCACAGAAGUAGCUCUCUGGAGAGGGAAGAACGCUACAACACAAGGAGCUCUAGGGACAAGGAAGAACGCUAUGGCAAAAGUCACUCCGAGGAGAGGAAAGAACGUUACCGUAAAGGGAGCCCUGUGGAUAGGGAGGAUCAUCAUUAUGAAAGGAGCUCUCUGGACAGGGAAAAAUACAAUCAGAAAAGAAGCCCUGCUUACAGGGAAGAAACUCUUCACAAAACAGAUGCGGAAGAGUACUCCCACAGAAGUUCUAGGGAUCGGGAAGAAGGCUCUUACAAGCGCCACAGGCAUAAUAGUGGGUCUGACAGACACAAAAAGAGGCGAUCCGCUGCUCGGGAUCACUCUGAUCGCUAAUUUUUCACAGGUUGACUGAAUAUGUACAUUGCACUCUUCUUCUUCUUCCUUUUUGGGAAUCUGAGGGGUUUACUGUCCACUAGUUGAGCUGUAUUGAAAUAUUUAAGUUGGUUAUGUAAUCUUUUUGUGAGAUUCUUAUAACCUGUUUAACUGGCAAUGCCGCAACAGGGUGGCAGUUAGCUUGAUCAAUCUAUCUGCUAUGGUAAGGAUAGGGAACAGGUAGGGAUUGGAGGAUGAUAAAUAGGAGAGAGUGGAGCUUUGGGGUUGGAUGUUUGGUGAGGGAGCUGUGGCUGUAGUCCUAGGUUUGAACAAUCUACAUCAACAAUUAGACCGUGAAAUUUUGGAUCUUUUACCAGCAGUUGCUUAUCUAGAUAUUUUAGCCAGGGAAUGAAUAUCAAUAAAUGGACAAAUGAAAUUUUCAUCUAGC
rnacentral:misc_RNA from 1 species